ensembl:lncRNA
CUCACCAACAUCCCUCCAUGCCCACACACCUCCAUCCUGGCACAAGCGAGUUUUAUAGGGAAAAUUCCACUUGAGGCCAAGAUUUUUGCAAUUAGUCCUUUCUUCUAUUCAGAGUCCAUAUGUUAAUAAUUCAGUGUCUGGAGUUGUUGAAUCCCGUGAUGAAAUUUAUGGGAACGCUGCAUUCACAUGGAUCUGUCCGGGGAUCUCCAAGAUUUCCAUCCCGGGUCGUUCACGCGAUGAUCAGCGCCUGGACUUUCCAGCCAUGGCCCAUCUCCUGAACACGGUCUCUGUGUUACAGGAGAACGUGUUUUUAGAGAGAUACGAUGACUUGAGCCAAGACAGUGCAAGAAUGGACUGAACAGGGGAAAAAUUGAAGAAAGUGUCGUAGUAUCCUCUGUCUUCAAAGAAAAAGAAAAUCUCUGUUCUCACAAUCCUUGGCCCCAGGGGAAGAGAAAAUAGGGAGGACUGCAGAUAAAAAACUGUUGUUCUUUUUAGUCCUUAGCAAAGCGUCCUUAAAGGAGCCCUGUGAGCAGUUUCAGUCCAUGCACCGUGGUGAAAGCACUUGAAAUAGAAAAGAAAAGUGUCACAAUGCAGAUUUUUUCUGGGCAGUUGCCCUCUGUGACAUGGAAACACAAGAAGUUACAAUCGUGUUUCCUAGGGGUCUAUAUUACAGGAGAGACUCCUCUCUCCCUUGAUGAACUAAGAAUUGAUUAUCUAAAGGGUGAUAACUUAAUCAAGAAUCCAGGUCUCACGGUGUUUUAGUAGAAAUAAAGUAAGGAGAAGAAGAACGUUUAAAAAAGUUUUCAUCCUAAGUUCUAUGUGUUCCUUUUAUUGUAGUAGUAAAAUAUUAAAGUUUUUUCUCCUUUGUUUUUAAGCUCAAGCCUGCUCUGCUCUGUUCCUAAUCACAUCUCACUGCACUCAUUUAGAGAAAGUACAUUUUCUUGAGAACAUCAGCAUGACACCAGUGUCAAACCAUGACAUUUGGCCCAGGCACUCACUGAGUGGUGAUGUGAAAAACGCCAAUCACUUGAUUUUAAAAAUUUUAAAAGUUUAAUAAUAAUAAAAUGGUUAUAAAAAAUUAAUACAAUUUGAGUAAUAAAGUUUAGGGUUAGGACAAUUACAAGGCAAUAAAAAGCAAAGAAUUAUGGAUGUCUGGAUGCUCUCGGACACUAAGUCACGAAAAGCAUGACUUGUGAACAAAGGAAUCACCCUUAAACCAAAUACACUGUUGCAUAUUCAUACAUCCUUCAUGGUUAUGCAUACAUUCUAUUCUAAACAAGAAACUCUGUCUGCUGCAUGUCAAUUGUUUCCUUUAAUCCUCUGGCAUCUUUGAGUCUGAGCAAGGCCUGAAGAAAUUAAUUUCUUCUGAUAAGAAGCCAUAAAUUCAUCUCCUUUGAAAGAUUUAGGUGCUCCUCAAAGCGAGUAUAUCAUUCCUAAAACUAAAAACUUCCUCCACAUACAUAGUCUCUAUUUUGACAUUAUGUUGUAACCUAAAACUAUAUUUAACACACUACUUAAGAGAAUUAAUACAGCUUAACUUUCUAACAUUACACAUAUAAUAUUCACUGUAACAUUUGUGAAAAGCCAAUCAUAAAAUAUGCAUUUUUUACAAUGUCAUCCCAGGAGUUUCCUGUUUGCCCAACUGCACAGACCUCUCAGGCUGCCACAGGGUCUCAGUGGCAGCAUCACAAGUGUCUCCAGGCUGCUGUUAACAAAAUGAAUUAAGCAUUUAUAUUCUAGCUUCUUGUAGAUUUGUGUGUUGAAUUUUAACCUUUUACUUAAGAAACCUCUGCCAAGGUACAAAAGGCAUAGGAAAAUGCAAAUUUCUGAAGCUUCUUGUAUAAAGAACAACACCAGAAAGAACCAAAAAUGCAAAGAACCCAGUUAAAA